CCCUUAGAUGUCCGGGGCUGCACGCGCGCUACACUGAAUGAAUCAGCGUGCUAGAAAACCUUGUUUGACAUGGCUAGGUAACCCAUUGAAAAUCAUUCGUGAUUGGGAUCGGGACUUGCAAAUGUGUCCCUUGAACGAGGAAUUCCCAGUAAGUGCGGGUCAUCAGCUCGCGUUGAUUACGUCCCUGCCCUUUGUACACACCGCCCGUCGCUCCUACCGAUUGAAUGUGUUGGUGAGGAGCUCGGAUUGGCAGCAGUUGGUGGUUCGCCACCGGCUAUUGCUGAGAAGUCCUCCAAACCGCCCCAUUUAGAGGAAGGAGAAGUCGUAACA
rnacentral:rRNA from 1 species